rnacentral:rRNA from 1 species
AGUGAACGCUGGCGGCGUGCUUAACACAUGCAAGUCGAACGAGAAACGGAUUUAGCUUGCUAAAUUGCAGUCUAAGUGGCGCACGGGUGAGUAAUGUAUAGGUAAUAUGCCUCUUACUAAGGGAUAACAAUUGGAAACGAUUGCUAAUACCUUAUAUGCCUUUAAUAUGGAAGUAUGCAAGGGAAAGAUUUAUUGGUAAGAGAUUAGCCUGUAUGGUAUCAGUUAGUUGGUGAGGUAAUGGCUCACCAAGACAAUGACGCCUAACUGGUUUGAGAGGAUGAUCAGUGACACUGGAACUGAGACAAGGUCCAGACUCAUCCGGGAGACAGCAGUGGGGAAUAUUGCACAAUGGAAGAAAGUCUGAUGCAGCAACGCCGCGUGGAGGAUGACACAUUUCGGUGCGUAAACUCCUGUUAUAUAGGAAGAUAAUGGCGGUACUAUAUGAAUAAGCACCGGCUAACUCCGUGCCAGCAGCCGCCGUAA